GGAUGUGAGGGUGAUCUGGCUGUGACAUCUGUCACCCUAUUGAUCGCCAGGUUUGGUUCAGCUGAUCUGGCUGGCUAGGCAGGUGUCCCCUUCCUCCCUCUCAGUUCCAUGUGUGUCCUUUCCAGAGCUGCAUGUUCCACUGAAGAGGAUGCCCACUCCCAAUAGAGGAGAACUGUUUCCUUGGUCAAGAGUAUGAGUAGUUGCACUUCCCUGCUAGAAGCUCUGAAAAAGCUCUCAAGGUCCAAUUCCACUACACUGAUCUAUGCUUACCCAUAUAUUGGUACCACACUUUUUUCAUUACUGUAGUUUUGUGGUAAGU
rfam:Heterocephalus glaber contig178635, whole genome shotgun sequence.